UUUGUGAAAUUCGUUAAGGUUCGAAUCUCGUGACUACCGUUAAGGUUUGAUUUGGGUUUUACACAAAUACGUAUUCCAUUCUGUUAAACUAUAUGUUUAACUACCGAAAAUACUCCCCACUACACACUCACAAUCAAACAAACUAUUAAAUCAUCAGAAGAUCCAGAAUAAUAAAGUGCAUGCUUAAUUAUCGGAAGAAGUAGAAUCAAGAAGCUUGUUAACUCAAUCUUGCAUGCUUAUAAAGUAAUUACAGUAGAUUGGAGUAAGAAUUGGAUCCGGCACUGAAGGACUUCAAGAAGUGGCUUAUU
rnacentral:lncRNA from 1 species